rnacentral:pre_miRNA from 1 species
AGUGGAAUUGCUGGGUCAUUUGAUAAUUCUGUUUUUUGAGAAACCGCCAAAAUGUUUUCUAAAGCAACUGCAUCCGUUUACAUUCCCAUCAGCAAU